rnacentral:lncRNA from 1 species
AAAAUCACACAUGAAUCAAGGUUGUGACUUUUGUUUUAAUAUAUAAGAUGGACUAUAGAUACAGCGGGUCUUCCUCUUAAAACCCAAAAAAUUUUGGGUCAGAAGUUUCGGGCCAUUACAAUUACGACUUUAAUUUGAGAUGACACAGUACUUGGUGGACCAGCUGGUAGUUACGUUCGAUGCUGCGACUAGACCUUGCGUCCUGUUGCGCUGGUGUAGUGCUUUAACUUCUAGAUCAAGUUACUAGUCCAUCCUUUAGCUCGAGUUCAUUAUGAUAUGUUUGUGUUUGUUUGUUUUUGCUGAAAUGUAAAUGACAAUAGGUUUAGAGUUCUUAAGGCUGUUAACGAAGCCUUGAUACAUCUCCGAGGAUGAAGAAGGAAAUCGUAUCAAUUUCAAUGCUAUCUCUCAGUCUCUCACCGAGCUCACAAUGCUCACCAGAUCUCACGUUACUCACCCAAGCUCAAGAACAUAGUACCAAGUAAUACACAAGAUGAUCACACACCCGAAUCUCAUGUGUUUCUCUCACCCUCUCUGCUCUACUUUGUGAUGACGAUGCUC